CACCAGACUCCUACGGGAGGCAGCAGUGGGGAAUAUUGCACAAUGGGGGAAACCCUGAUGCAGCGACGCCGCGUGAGCGAUGAAGUAUUUCGGUAUGUAAAGCUCUAUCAGCAGGGAAGAAAAUGACGGUACCUGACUAAGAAGCCCCGGCUAACUACGUGCCAGCAGCCGCGGUAAUACGUAGGGGGCAAGCGUUAUCCGGAUUUACUGGGUGUAAAGGGAGCGUAGACGGCAAUGCAAGCCAGAUGUGAAAGCCCGGGGCUCAACCCCGGGACUGCAUUUGGAACUGUGUAGCUGGAGUGUCGGAGAGGCAGGCGGAAUUCCUAGUGUAGCGGUGAAAUGCGUAGAUAUUAGGAGGAACACCAGUGGCGAAGGCGGCCUGCUGGACGAUGACUGACGUUGAGGCUCGAAAGCGUGGGGAGCAAACAGGAUUAGAUACCCUCGUAU
rnacentral:rRNA from 1 species